rfam:Myotis lucifugus cont2.45285, whole genome shotgun sequence.
GAGACACACCUGUGUGGAGCAGGACUUGGUUCAGUGGGGCUUUGGUGCUCACUGAGUCUGCCCCUUGAGUGUGUCACU